UACGGAGGGUGCGAGCGUUAUCCGGAAUCACUGGGUUUAAAGGGUGCGUAGGCGGCCUGGUAAGUCAGGGGUGAAAGCUUCCCGCUCAACGGGAGAACGGCCUUUGAUACUGCCAAGCUUGAAUGGGCACGAGGCAGGCGGAAUGUGGCAUGUAGCGGUGAAAUGCUUAGAUAUGCCAUAGAACACCGAUUGCGAAGGCAGCCUGCCAGCGCCAAAUUGACGCUGAGGCACGAAAGCGUGGGGAGCGAACAGG
rnacentral:rRNA from 1 species